CAGGCGCAGUGCGUCGGGAGUCUGGCGCUGUCCGCUUUGUCCAGCUCCGGGCUGGCAGGGACUGUCCCAAGGAGACAACCCAACCGCAGACCAUUUCUAGCGACUCAAAGGCUCAGAGGGGAUGUUCCCCAAGACCCUAUACUUGAAAAAGCCUAUUGUGAGAGCACACCACUGGGACAGUAAGGACGACUUGUGUCCGGCUCCUGCCGGGACACUCUAGCUGGGGAGAGAGUCUGUGCAAGGGAGGAAUUGGGGAGAAGCUCAAAUCCUGUCACCCAGGAGAGGGGACCUGUGGGAGACAAGCCCCGGACCAUGGCCCCAGGUGAGGAGAACUCCACGCCAAGUUCACCUCCAAUCCAACAUGCAAGGAAGAAAAAUGCCCAUAAAUGUGAGGACUGUGGAAAAGACUUCAAGGUACCCUCGAUCCUCAUUGCCUGCCAGAGAGUUCACACCACAGAGAAUCCCCGUGAAUGUGGUCAUUGUGGGAAAGUUUUCAUCCAAAAUUCAGCUCUUAUAGUGCACCAGAGGACUCUGGACAGAAGCCCUGUUCAUGCAGAAUGUGGCAAAACCUUCAGGUGGAGCUUCUCCCCCACCCCAUCAGACAUCAGAGAAUGCACAGUGGAGAAAGGCUCUAUCAGUGUGGUUGCCGCAUUCCUCCCUUACCGAGCACCACAAGGUCCACACUGGGGAGAACCCCUAUGAAUGCGCCGAGUGCGGGAAAGCCUUCAAGGGCAGCUCGGACCUGAGCCGAUAUCGCAGGGUUCACACCAGGGAGAAGCCCUACGAGUGUGAUGAGUGUGGGAGAGCCUUCAUGUGGCCCUCAUCACACAUCAGAGAAGUCACAGAGGGGAGAAGCCUCAUGAGUAUCCCCAGUGUGGGAAGGCGUUCGUCCAGAGCUCCCAACUCACUCAGCACCAGAGGACUCGCACUGGGGAGAAGCUCUAUGAGUGCAGUGUCUAUGGGAAAGUCGUGUUUCUACCCGAUUCACCACCAGAAACUUCAACCCAGAGAGUUGUGUGACAUGAAGGUGUCCUUGAGCUUGUGUAGAUCAAGUGAGAUGAUAUUUGUGAAGGGCUUAGUGCGGUGGCUGGGGUGCAGGAAUCCUCCCUCAGGGGAGUUGGGCUUGGUGUCCCAAGCCAGGUUGUCCCACACAUGAGGAGAGGGAGCCCUUACACUAGCCUCACAUGUCCUCCAGCCAGGCACCAAAGACUUCGUCCUGUAAGGUCAGAGAAUGCAGGAAAGUCUGGAGGAAGAACUCAGAGCUGGACCCUGCCCUCAGCAGCUCACAGUCCGUUAGGAUAAUGCUUGUGUGGCUGAGCAGAGGCCUCUGGUCUGGGUGAGGAUGCCAAGUUCCCUAGGACCAAGACACGGAGACUUCAGACCUUCUCUGGAGCCUGGCCCUGUUUAAACAGGAGUGCUGCUGACCAGAGGGGAGGGCAGCUGGGAAGGGCCAGGCGCUCAUACCAGGGGAUGGAGGCAGAUAGAAGAGCUGAAUUCAAGGCUAUGAAGGACAGGCCCUGGGAAAGUAUCAGUCAUUCUGCUUGACCCCUGGAGCUAGAAUCAGGAGGUCAGGCAGCAGCACCUACUGUGUGUGUGUGUGUGUGUGUGUGUGUGUGUGUGUGUGUACGCACGUAACUGGGGCCUGAGGCUGCUGAGAUCCCAGUUCCUGGGAGUCUUUUUAAAAAUUUUAAUUAUUUUUUAUUAGUGAGCAAAUCAAUAUUUCCAAUUAUUUCCAUUAGAAAAUAUUGACUUGCUCUGCUUCCAUGGAAAAGAUCCAGAAAAGACAUGGGCAGUCCUAGAGAAAUGUGUUUGUGUUCCACAUGAUUAGGCAGAUAAACUAGGUCCAGCUCAGUGCUUCUAAGGGUUCAGAUGGUGGAAAUGCAGAAAGAAACAAAUGAGCCUCCAAGAUGCAAAAUCUGUCAGUAAAUUAUUCUUCCCAUUGAGAUAAACCGAGUCCUGUUUUAACCAUGUACAGCAAGACCAAUUUCCACAUUGAUCAUGUCAAAUAGAAAAUGACCAAGCCUUCCCUGUGCACCAAGCUGAGUCCCAAGGCCACUCAGAGUUAAGACUUUCCAAGGUUUUGUUGUCAGUCCGCAGAUGGUUCCCUCAGUGCAGGCUUCUCAGAAAUCGUCCCCCCUAAUAUUCCUCCACAAGUGUUUCUGUACCAACUGAGCAAGUUCUCCCUUUGAGCAGCUUGCCCACUCUCCCCACCCCUCCCCUGUGUUUGUGCAGACGUGGAUACCAUAAUGAUGUGAGAAGAUUUCCCCCAUCCUUCCUCUUCCUCCCCUUUUAUAAAAUAGAAAAAAAAAUCGAAGCCUUGUGUCUACUUCUCCCUCUGUGACGCUUGAUGAGGUGAGAGCUCUGAGGGAACCCGUGGCUCAUUUCUCUCCGUCAGAAUGUGAACCGCUCGGUCUUUGCUUAUUUUUACCUUUUUCUGUUUCUCUUGACUCCUUGUUGGCAUUCCAACCUUUUAUACUUCCUUGGUCAUCUUCUCAGGAAUGCUUGGAAAUCUAUUACAUCGACGAGCCACUUUCCACCCCGGAGGAUGACACGUCAUUUUGCUGGGCAAACCUUUUGGUUAUAAACCUAGACUUUUUGCCUUCUGGAGUUCUAAAUUUCAAACUCUCCAUGUCUUUAUAGUAAUGGUGGAUAAAUCAGGUGUGAUCUGCCCUGGGGCCUUCAUAUUUGAAUUCUUUCUGGCUGCUAGCAGUAAUUUGUUCUUUGACCUGGGAGCUCUGAAUUUUGGCUAUGAUAUUCUUGGGACAUUUCAUUUGUGGGCUUUU